rnacentral:rRNA from 1 species
UACGGAGGGAGCUAGCGUUGUUCGGAAUUACUGGGCGUAAAGCGCGCGUAGGCGGCUUUGUAAGUUAGAGGUGAAAGCCCGGGGCUCAACCCCGGAAUUGCCUUUAAGACUGCAUCGCUUGAAUCCGGGAGAGGUGAGUGGAAUUCCGGGUGUAGCGGUGAAAUGCGUAGAUAUCUGGAGGAACACCGGUGGCGAAGGCGGCAUCCUGGACCGAGAUCGACGCUGAGGCGCGAAAGCUAGGGGAGCAAACGGG